rnacentral:rRNA from 1 species
UACGUAGGGUGCAAGCGUUAAUCGGAAUUACUGGGCGUAAAGCGUGCGCAGGCGGCUUUGCAAGACAGAUGUGAAAUCCCCGGGCUUAACCUGGGAACUGCAUUUGUGACUGCAUGGCUGGAGUGCGGCAGAGGGGGAUGGAAUUCCGCGUGUAGCAGUGGAAUGCGUAGAGAUGUGGAGGAACACCGAUGGCGAAGGCAGCCUCCUGGGCCAACACUGACGCUCAUGCACGAAAGCGUGGGGAGCAAACAGG